GAUGAACGCUGGCGGCGUGCCUAAUACAUGCAAGUCGAGCGAACAGAUAAGGAGCUUGCUCCUUUGACGUUAGCGGCGGACGGGUGAGUAACACGUGGGUAACCUACCUAUAAGACUGGGAUAACUUCGGGAAACCGGAGCUAAUACCGGAUAACAUUUGGAACCGCAUGGUUCUAAAGUGAAAGAUGGUUUUGCUAUCACUUAUAGAUGGACCCGCGCCGUAUUAGCUAGUUGGUAAGGUAACGGCUUACCAAGGCAACGAUACGUAGCCGACCUGAGAGGGUGAUCGGCCACACUGGACCUGAGACACGGUCCAGACUCUUACGGGAGGCAGCAGUAGGGAAUCUUCCGCGAUGGGCGAAAGCCUGACGGAGCAACGCCGCGUGAGUGAUGAAGGGUUUCGGCUCGUAAAACUCUGUUAUUAGGCAAGAACAAACGUGUAAGUAACUGUGCACGUCUUGACGGUACCUAAUCAGAAAGCCACGGCUAACUACGUG
rnacentral:rRNA from 1 species